UUUUGGGUCAUGUACGGGCCUAGUCCACUCAGCCUCGCACUUGGCUGAGUUACUCAGGCUGAUUCCAAGGCCCAAGGAAAUUUGAAUAGCGCGGCUUAGUAUUAACCAUGAAUGUUUGUCACACACACGCACAUGGCUAUUGUGUAAAUGCUCACACAUGAACCCUUUCAUUUCUUUAACAUUGGGAAAUUUUGGUAGUUUACUCAUGAAUAUUAUUUUUAAUAGAUUUUUCACAUUACACAGCAUAGAAGCUUAUGGACAAAUGAGGCAUGUGAUGUUUUUUUCUUUUUUUCUUUUCUACAUACUUGCUGAACAUCUAUGGG
rnacentral:lncRNA from 1 species